AUGGGUCUAGCGCUUCCUAGAGGCUGUGCGGGAUAUGGGCCGGUCAGCCGGCGGGGAGGGGACUGCCUCAAGCCCGCUUCUACUCGGGACUCCCUGCGGGACUUUUGGCUCUCGGGAUUUGUUUCCCCGGGAGCCGGUGCAGGCGCAAAGAGCUGUGUGCGUGCGCCGGUUGCGGGAUGUGUGUGUUUGUGUGUGUGUGCGCGCGCGCCGGGGCAGGAGGGCCACCACCGGGUUCCCCCACUUUGGGAUCCCCUAAAUGCUCGUCCCCCUCAGGAUGCUGAGUUGUUCCCACCCCUUAUAAAAGCCGCCCCCUCCGAGGCAGAGUCGCCAUCCCCCGCAGGCGUCUCCCUAGGAUCGCGCACGCGAGGACUCCGCCGAGCGCCCAGGGUCGAGAGAUGCAAACCCGUCCGCUCCGGGCGCUGCCACACAGCCGCGCGGACUGUCGCUCCAGAACUUGACCCGCAAACUUCGGCGCGUUCUCCACGUAGUGGUGUUGGGGGUGGGGGGGACCCGACUCUCGCGAGACCGCCUCCCAACUGGAGCCCACUUUCCGCUCGCCCCCACGGGGCACUCCGCGGAGCACCUUCAGGGCGGAGCUCCCGGCCCCCGGAAGUGCGGGGCGGGGUGGGGGGAGGGCUCGGACCGGGCGCUCGGCCUCCCAGCCCUGCACAAACGCUGGGGCGCCACUUGGAGCCCCCUCGACUCCGCCAAGUGGGGACACGCCCGCGCCCACUCGGCCCCAGGCAGCUGGCACAGCUCUCAGCCUUCCGUGACCCGCCAUCCGCGUCUGGAGCCCUGAACUUGAGCCCCCGCCUCCGUCAGCGGCUGCGAGCGUCCGGCCGCCCGCCCGCCCGCUCGCUCGCGGCGGCCACCGUCACUAGACAGUCAAACCCCAAGACGUCAGCCCACAAUGCACCGGGCGGGCCGGGAAAGACGGGCCGGGAGGGGACCGGGAAGAGAGGGGCUAGAGGCGCGCGGAGGGGGAGGGGGAGAGGAGGAGAAAGAAGGGCCCAACUGUAG
rnacentral:lncRNA from 1 species